UCCUAACAGAAGCCUGGAGCUGGACCCCAGCAGGCACUGCCUACAGUCUGCUAGAAAUGAGAGUCAGUCUGUUGAUGAGAAAGCUUGGUACUCGAAAUCCUUGAAAUAAUGACAAGUCUAGGAGAAGAAGGUUUGGAGAAGAACUCCGUGUUUGGGUCCUUCAGGAUUAGGUCUAAUGCCGAGAUAAAGGGUGGGUUAAGAAGAGAGGGAAAAAAAUCAAAACAAGAACACAAGGAAGCCAGUAUAGUGGGCUAUGCUGCCUCUGCCUACCCAGUCUUCCAGAAUGAAGAGGUAAAGUGGCCAAGAAUGUGGCUUCAUUGGCAGAGAGCUUGCCUCAUAUGCAUGAAGCUCUGGAUGAUGUGCCUAAGACCACAAACAAAGAGCAGUGCGAUGCAACCCAGAAUCUCAGCAUCAGGAGGUAGAGGCAGGAGAAUCAGAAGUGCAAAAUCUAACCUUGGUUCCAUAGUACCCUGGAGGCCAGCAGGGCUAUGGGAAUCUCCUGAUGGGAGAAGAAACGACUGAAGCCUGGAGUUGGCCAGAGGAGGAACCUGUCUCCUGGAGAAGGGGUUACAACUUGUCGAAUGACUUUGCAGGGAAGACGGUGUGGAGACCGUACAAGGCACAAACCACACCUUAGCUUCUGCAUAAGAUGUCUCUUUUUUCCCUGUGUGGUCACACUGACUAUAUCCCCUCUUUCUGCUUUCCAUUACAAAAGAAGAAAGAAAAAAAAUGUAAAAGAAAGAAAGAAUGAAUUAGAAGGUUUGACAAAC